AUGGCAUGUUUCAAAUUGCCUCGUGGCCUGUGUGAACACAUCAAUGGUCUACUCCGGAAAUUUUGGUGGGGUGGCCAAGCAGGGCAGAGGAAGCUGGCAUGGGUAUCUUGGAGAACUAUGUGCAAGCCUAAGCAUAUGUGAGUCAUGGGGUUUCAAGAUAUUGAACUCUUGAAUCUUGCAUUGCUAGCAAGGCAAGUAUGAUAUUUACUUCAGGAGUCGGAUACUCUUAGCAGUAGAGUUUUAAAAGCUAGACACUACGCCCAAACUGACAUUUUGCAAGCAACUUUAGGCUCACACCCAUCCCAAGUUUGGCGGUCUCUGAUAGAGGGGAGAGAUGUUCUUGAGAUAGGAAUCAUCCGAAGAAUCGGGACAGGUGGUGAAACUCAUAUCUGGCACGACAACUGGCUACCACAAGAUUACAAACUAAGACCGAUAUGCCCUAUCACAGCAGUCCCACCUCAAUUGGUCUCGGAGCUGAUUGAUCCAGUUACGUGCUCGUGGAAGAGGCAGGUGAUUAAUGAGAAUUUUAUUGCACCGGAUGUAGAUGUAAUUCUAAACAUACCGUUGAGCAGAAGGGUACAGCCGGACUUCUGGGCAUAG
rnacentral:rRNA from 1 species